rnacentral:rRNA from 1 species
GACGAACGCUGGCGGCGUGCUUAACACAUGCAAGUCGAACGGAAAGGCCCUGCUUUUGUGGGGUGCUCGAGUGGCGAACGGGUGAGUAACACGUGAGUAACCUGCCCUUGACUCUGGGAUAACUUCAGGAAACUGGGGCUAAUACCGGAUAGGAGCUCCUGCUGCAUGGUGGGGGUUGGAAAGUUUCGGCGGUUGGGGAUGGACUCGCGGCUUAUCAGCUUGUUGGUGGGGUAGUGGCUUACCAAGGCUUUGACGGGUAGCCGGCCUGCGAGGGUGACCGGCCACAUUGGGACUGAGAUACGGCCCAGACGCCUACGGGAGGCAGCAGUGGGGAAUAUUGCACAAUGGGCGGAAGCCUGUUGCAGCAACGCCGCGUGCGGGAUGACGGCCUUCGGGUUGUAAACCGCUUUCGCCUGUGACGAAGCGUGAGUGACGGUAAUGGGUAAAGAAGCACCGGCUAACUACGUG